GACACGUCGUGUGUACACUCAGUUUGUAGCUGACUUUGAUCAGCUUACGCCUGACCGUGUUCGGUGGACUCCCUACACUCAGCACGAUGUCAAUGAUCGUGCACCGCACGGUCUCGCGGAUCUUUGCACGCGAGAUAUGCAACUCUGGAUGACGACUUGUCACCUCGUGGUGGACGUGCACGUCGAGCCACACAAUGUCCACAGGGUUCUCAAACAGUUGGGCAUGUAUCAGGACUUCCCUCCGAGAGAUGGUCGUCCUUUGGCUGAUAGUCUUCAUAGGUACUCCAGAAAGGGGCUCGGGCUUUCCUACGAGCUAGUUAUUGUGACCACGGUUCAGCCGACGGUACAAGAGUGGGAGCACGCAGCUGAUAACUUGGCACUUCAGACACCUCCAGACGAUGGGAGUUAUUAUGGAGCUUACCUUCGUUGGUACCGCAGUGUUACACGAUGGAGGUGUUUUCCUCCACAAAGAGAUAGCACCGUCCCCCACCAGGCAGCGAUUACUGACACGUUUACCCCUCAGCCUAGAUCAGCUUACAACUCAAUGGUACGUGUUUAUUUGUGGAAUUUGAGCAACUAGUUCAAUAUUUUUAAAAAGUUAGCAAGUAGUUCAGUAUGUCUAAUAAAUGUGCAAUUGGUUCAACUAGUUCCUUUUCUUACAUAAAUGUGGAACUAGUUCAGUAUUUAUAAAUGAUGUGCAACUGGUUCAUUAUUUCUAACAAAUGUGCAUCUUGUUAAAUACUCUUAAUAAAUGUGCAACUGGUUAAAUAAUUUUAAUUGCCUUGAUUAUUUGUGGAACAGGCGGAAUUUGUUGAGCACGUUCACGUGGAGUCCGACACCCUGCUGCAAAGACUAGAGGCAAGACCUCCAGUCGUCAGGCCUGACGACGUGGCGAGCAUCCUUCGCAACUUCCGUGCACGUGCUGCCGCACUACUACGUCGUGUCUCCUGUCGGAGCGCGGCAGAUGUGGUGUAGACGUCGGGCCGAUGGCCAUCACCACCACUACCCCGACGUUCCAGCGUGGAUCGGAGUGGUCCAUCCUCUUCACGUCGCGGGUACGAAGCGGCCCACACAUCUCACGGUCGUCCUUCCUUUCAGCACACCCCAGCACCGGAGUACACCAGGGGGUCAGCCGGAUCAGGGGUACCCACGUCGAGCACGGCACCACCACGUCCGCAGGUAUUCCAAACUCCGCCUUAUGUUCACCCCUCGCAGGGAGCAUCUGGGUCGGCACACUUCCCUUACAUGCCAACGGGGGACAACGUGUUGAACACACCAGCAUAGGGACUUCAUAUCACUCCGCGUGCGCCAGAGCAGGGCCACACACAGCACACAUACGAUGAGUACGGUUCGGCGUCGACGCAUCACGGAAUGCCUGCUUACUCCCCUCGCACAGCAUUCAUUGAGGACUUCUUUUCCACUGAUCCUCCCCAGGGGGAAGUAGGGAUGGAUUACUGGCACGCAGCACCUCAGGUCACACAGCCGACGCAGGAGACGGAGGCCGGUCAGGGCCAGACGUGACACCACAGCAGGUAGCUAGAGAUAGGCACCCCCCUGAUAAUUUGACAUAUCCCACUGAGCAGAUUAGGCGUAGGAAGAAGGGAGGACCUAGCAAGCGUGCGAAGGGCACUGAUCGUCCUUGACUUAUCUAUUUGUAUUAAACUUUUAGUCAUUUAUGUUCUGUCCGUACUAUUUGAGAAACACUUUACGAUUAACUUAGUACUAUCAGUACUAUUUCAUAAA